rnacentral:rRNA from 1 species
AUUGAACGCUGGCGGCAGGCCUAACACAUGCAAGUCGAGCGGAUGAAGGGAGCUUGCUCCUGGAUUCAGCGGCGGACGGGUGAGUAAUGCCUAGGAAUCUGCCUGGUAGUGGGGGAUAACGUCCGGAAACGGGCGCUAAUACCGCAUACGUCCUGAGGGAGAAAGUGGGGGAUCUUCGGACCUCACGCUAUCAGAUGAGCCUAGGUCGGAUUAGCUAGUUGGUGGGGUAAAGGCCUACCAAGGCGACGAUCCGUAACUGGUCUGAGAGGAUGAUCAGUCACAUUGGAACUGAGACACGGUCCAGACUCCUACGGGAGGCAGCAGUGGGGAAUAUUGGGCAAUGGGCGAAAGCCUGAUCCAGCCAUGCCGCGUGUGUGAAGAAGGUCUUCGGAUUGUAAAGCACUUUAAGUUGGGAGGAAGGGCAGUAAGUUAAUACCUUGCUGUUUUGACGUUACCAACAGAAUAAGCACCGGCUAACUUCGUG